AGCGGCAGUGGUAGCUGCAGGAGGCAGGAGAGCAACAGAAAGAGAGAGAGAGUGGUAAAGAGAGACAGGAGGAGAGCUCAGAGUAAUCGUAGGAGGACAGAGAAGGGAACUUGUGUCAGCGUGGGUGCUGAAGCAGGAGAAUGACAUGCUGGAUAAAGGGGCAGCGAUGAUGUCCAGUACCACAUUCAAAAUGUCCAGGUCACAGUGAAAGCCUCCUGUCAUAACAACACUAGUGCCAUCAAGAUCCAUCAGAAGCAGAUAGCAUGCAGAACCUCCGGCAUGCCGCUUCUGAGGCUUUCCAGCGUCUCGGGUUAAAACAAAGACAUCUGGGCUACGAGGAGUUGAAUGGAUGCAUUUGUUCCCCUCAGCGAAUACAACAUGGCUGUUUGUGUUUAGCUCUCAUGGAUGGGAAGAUGGAGUCAUAAGCGCGAGGCCUGCAGACACACACACACACACACACACACACACACACCACUUUCUCAUGCAAGUCAUAUGAGUUAUCCAGCUUAAUCAGAGAAAG